rnacentral:rRNA from 1 species
CUGCUGCCUCCCGUAGGAGUCUGGUCCGUGUCUCAGUACCAGUGUGGGGGACCUUCCUCUCAGAACCCCUACGCAUCGUCGGUUAGGUGGGCCGUUACCCCGCCUACUGCCUAAUGCGCCGCAUGCCCAUCCCUGUCCGGCCGAAGCCUUUCCUGCCUCCGGGAUGCCCCGGUGGCAUGUACGCGGGUUUAGCCCGCCUUUCGGCGGGUUGUCCCCCUGACAGGGGCAGGUUGCAUACGUGUUACUCACCCGUGCGCCAGUCGCCGGCGGAAG